rnacentral:lncRNA from 1 species
GGGAUAUGGCUAUUCUUAUGAAACUGUCUCCUUAGGAUAGAGGGGGAAAAAAGAUGGGCUGACUCAGAACUUGUCAUCAGUUUUAGUGUGUUCCAUUUUUAUCUCAAAGAGGAACUCUUGUUAAAUUGUAGGGUCAAAUAACCGGAAAACUGUGACUGCAAUUUGAAACACAAAAGGAGAAGCUGGAAGUCUGAAAAGAGAAAGAAAAAGACAGAGAGGUCUUAAAUUGAGGGAAAAAAAAUGCUAAAAAUUCACAGACAUCAUUCAAACAGCUAUUAACCUUCCAAAACAUUCACCUCGGAGGCUAAACUUCGCAGUACUUCAACUUCGAUUCUGAGAAAUGUCUCUAUUCCAGAAUGACACAUUAAGUGAGAGUGAAUUAAGUCCCCGUGCAACAAAUGUCAUGCUUCAAAUAAAAUUGGCACAUUAACUUGGAAGAGGAGAGAAAAGGACAGUGAAGGAAGGAAGCUGAGCAGAGAGAUGAAGCUAAGCAACAUCUGAAAGGUAAG